rnacentral:rRNA from 1 species
GAUCAUGGCUCAGGAUGAACGCUAGCUACAGGCUUAACACAUGCAAGUCGAGGGGGCGAGCAUGGUCUUAGCUUGCUAAGGCCGAUGGCGACCGGCGCACGGGUGAGUAACACGUAUCCAACCUGCCGUCUAUUCUUGGACAGCCUUCUGAAAGGAAGAUUAAUACAAGAUGGCAUCAUGAGUCCGCAUGUUCACAUGAUUAAAGGUAUUCUGGUAGACGAUGGGG